rnacentral:rRNA from 1 species
CCUACGGGAGGCAGCAGUGGGGAAUAUUGGACAAUGGGCGCAAGCCUGAUCCAGCAAUGCCGCGUGAGUGAUGAAGGCCUUAGGGUUGUAAAGCUCUUUUACCAGGGAUGAUAAUGACAGUACCUGGAGAAUAAGCUCCGGCUAACUCCGUGCCAGCAGCCGCGGUAAUACGGAGGGAGCUAGCGUUGUUCGGAAUUACUGGGCGUAAAGCGUACGUAGGCGGUUAUUCAAGUCAGAGGUGAAAGCCCGGGGCUCAACCCCGGAACUGCCUUUGAAACUAGGUAGCUAGAAUCUUGGAGAGGUCAGUGGAAUUCCGAGUGUAGAGGUGAAAUUCGUAGAUAUUCGGAAGAACACCAGUGGCGAAGGCGACUGACUGGACAAGUAUUGACGCUGAGGUACGAAAGCGUGGGGAGCAAACAGGAUUAGAUACCCUGGUAGUCCACGCCGUAAACGAUGAUAACUAGCUGUCCGGUCACUUGGUGACUGGGUGGCGCAGCUAACGCAUUAAGUUAUCCGCCUGGGGAGUACGGUCGCAAGNUUAAAACUCAAAGGAAAUUGACGGCUGAGAGNGCGAGAGACACAGGGAGGAGG